UACGUAGGGUGCAAGCGUUAUCCGGAAUUAUUGGGCGUAAAGAGCUCGUAGGCGGUUUGUCGCGUCUGCUGUGAAAACUGGGGGCUCAACCCCCAGCCUGCAGUGGGUACGGGCAGACUAGAGUGCGGUAGGGGAGAUCGGAAUUCCUGGUGUAGCGGUGAAAUGCGCAGAUAUCAGGAGGAACACCGGUGGCGAAGGCGGAUCUCUGGGCCGUAACUGACGCUGAGGAGCGAAAGCAUGGGUAGCGAACAGG
rnacentral:rRNA from 1 species